UAUAUAUAUAUAUAUAUAUAUAUAUAUAUAUAUAUAUAUAUAUAUAUAUAUAAUAUGCAUAUACAUAAUGUAUAUAAUAUAUACGUAUAUAUAAUAUAUAAUAUACAGCAUAUAUAUAUAUAUAUAUAUAUAUAUAUAUAUAUGAGAGGGCAAGUCUGGUGCCAGCAGCCGCGGUAAUUCCAGCUCUCAAAGUGUAUAUCGUCAUUGCUGCGGUUAAAAAGCUCGUAGUUGGAUCUGCGUCUCAGGACCUCUUUCAGCUUGCGCAGUGGAUUUUUUAGGUGAGCACAUUAUGUGUAGAACGGACCCUAUCCUGUACUUCUAAGGAUCACCUACCACAGUCUAGCGGGUAGGACAUGAGAGUGAAAUCUUCACAUUUAUUUGUCAUAUCUAUGUUUAAGGAAGAAGGAUGAAGCCUUUAUCAUUGAAAGGUCAUGAUCGUGCACUGACGCGAGUGCGCAUUAAUAGAGACGGCGACUUGUUGUUCUCAGCGGGAAAAGAUAAGAGUCCAUGCGUGUGGUACAUGGAAAAUGGUGAACGCAUCGGAACGUACGAUGGUCACAA
rnacentral:ncRNA from 1 species